rnacentral:misc_RNA from 1 species
AGAGAGAGAGAGAGAGAGACAAAAGGAAUUUUUAGAAAGUUAUUUAUAAGUGAAAAAAAGAAAAGCAAUUCAAGGUUAUUUUUCAAACCAAAGGAUAUACAAAACCAUGAAGAAAAUUUUUAAGGCAAUAGAUGGCAUGACCAAAACUUUAACCUUGGUGCCCUAGCAUUUAAACUGUCAUCAGAGUAACUGAAUCAAUCAAUGACUCAAGCUCCUAUAAAAUAUAUUUGUUCAGCCAACCAACCACUUAAUGCAUUAUAAAAUCAAUCCAAUAAAGAUUAGGAGGAACCAUGAUCCAGAGUUUCAGACACAGAAAUCCUAUUGUCAUUUUGGAAACUGAAAUAUUUCAAACAUAAACACAUUCAAGGAAAUCAAAUAUAGGGUUCUAUUGUUGGAACAAUCCAACACUUGUGAAUCUACAUGGUACCUAACAAUUUGUACAAAAAAUUCUUGGCUCGAGUAAAUGACUAAAUAUUUGAUAAGGUACAAGUUAUGCAACAGAUUAAUUUGGAUCAGGGGCCUUGAAGGACUGCAAACAAAUUUAUAAACUACUAACGGUGACUUACAAGAAAAGAUUGUUUAGAAGUUGGGUACCCAGCAAACACCAUUUGCCUGGGAUUAAGGAAUAGGUAUCUUCAGCAUUCUUGGUUUUGAUCGACAUGUUCAUAAACAGACAAACCCCAAAAUAAAUCUCUUUAUCAAGAUCAUUGCCAUUUGGCACGUAAUGCCGAAUGUAAGUAAUCUAUUGCUCAGUUGCCUAAUAAGAAAUUUAUGGGAGUUUUAAGUUGCCAAUUUUGUGCUUAUAUCAGCUAAUAUGUGUAGCACCUGACACGUUAGACAUAUCGAGAAGAUUUUUGUAAUGUCUUGUCCAGAAGCAUGAACUAUGAGUAGGAUGUUCCCAACAUCUCCACAAGGUAAAUAACAAAAUGAUUUUACUUGCACAAAUUAUAGGUAGGAUAUUCCCAAUAUCUCCGCAAAGUACUAAUGAACUGCACAAACUGACUGUUUAUGUUUCAAAACUUACAAACUAAUGGUACCAGUUAUAAAAAUAAAUAAUAACAAUUGUACCCUUGGACGUAGCACAAUUAGAGCAAAGACAGGAUUCAAUCGAUGAGAAUAAAUAUGCCUGAAAUGUAUAAUCAAAAAUGCUACCUGCCUUACUCUUUAUAUUGUUCAGGAAAACGAUAUUGCCAAUGCUUUUAAUAGAAAAUAUUGCCAACACACAAUUUCGAAAGGAUUAAUCACCUGAAAUGGCUUGAACAUUUACUCAAUUCGCAAUUACAUCCCAUACUUCCCAAAUAGGCAAAUUCGCCCUAUACUUUAAUCAUUGAGAAUAAUCAUGGCAAAGCCGCUCAAAAAUACUUAUAAAGGAGGAGGAGAUG